rnacentral:rRNA from 1 species
CUACGGGUCGCUCCAGGCGAGAAAACUUUGCAAUGUGCGAAAGCACGACAAGGUUAAUCCGAGUGGUUUGUGCUAAACGAACCUUUUGACAGUCCUAGAAACACUGUUGAAUAAGGGGUGGGCAAGUUCUGGUGUCAGCCGCCGCGGUAAAACCAGCACCUCAAGUGGUCAGGAUGAUUAUUGGGCCUAAAGCAUCCGUAGCCGGCUCUGUAAGUUUUCGGUUAAAUCUGUACGCUCAACGUACAGGCUGCCGGGAAUACUGCAGAGCUAGGGAGUGGGAGAGGUAGACGGUACUCGGUAGGAAGGGGUAAAAUCCUUUGAUCUAUUGAUGACCACCUGUGGCGAAGGCGGUCUACCAGAACACGUCCGACGGUGAGGGAUGAAAGCUGGGGGAGCAAACCGGAUUAGAUACCCUAGUAGUC